GACGAACGCUGGCGGCGUGCUUAACACAUGCAAGUCGAACGGAAAGGCCCUGCUUGCAGGGUACUCGAGUGGCGAACGGGUGAGUAACACGUGGGUGAUCUGCCCUGCACUUCGGGAUAAGCCUGGGAAACUGGGUCUAAUACCGGAUAGGAGCCAUUUUUAGUGUGAUGGUUGGAAAGUUUUUUCGGUGUAGGAUGAGCUCGCGGCCUAUCAGCUUGUUGGUGGGGUAAUGGCCUACCAAGGCGGCGACGGGUAGCCGGCCUGAGAGGGUGGACGGCCACAUGGGGACUGAGAUACGGCCCAGACUCCCACGGGGGGCAGCAGGGGGGAAUUUUGCCAAAUGGGCGAAAGCCUGAUCCAGGGACGCCGGGUGGGGGAUGACGGCCUUCGGUUUGUAAACCCCUUUCGCUGGGGAAGAAGCUUUUUGUGCCGGUACCUAGAUAAGAAGCACCGGAGAACUACGU
rnacentral:rRNA from 1 species